rnacentral:rRNA from 1 species
GCAUAUCAAUAAGCGGAGGAAAAGAAACCAACAGGGAUUGCCUUAGUAGCGGCGAGUGAAGCGGCAAAAGCUCAAAUUUGAAAUCUGGCACUUUCAGUGUCCGAGUUGUAAUUUGAAGAAGGUAUCUUUGGGUCUGGCUCUUGUCUAUGUUUCUUGGAACAGAACGUCACAGAGGGUGAGAAUCCCGUGCGAUGAGAUGACCCAGACCUAUGUAAAGUUCCUUCGAAGAGUCGAGUUGUUUGGGAAUGCAGCUCUAAGUGGGUGGUAAAUUCCAUCUAAAGCUAAAUAUUGGCGAGAGACCGAUAGCGAACAAGUACAGUGAUGGAAAGAUGAAAAGAACUUUGAAAAGAGAGUGAAAAAGUACGUGAAAUUGUUGAAAGGGAAGGGCUUGAGAUCAGACUUGGUAUUUUGUAUGUUACUCUCUCGGGGGUGGCCUCUACAGUUUACCGGGCCAGCAUCAGUUUGGGCGGUAGGACAAUUGCAAAGAAAUGUGGCACUGCCUCGGUAGUGUGUUAUAGUCUUUGUCGAUACUGCCAGCCUAGACUGAGGACUGCGGCUUCGGCCUAGGAUGUUGGCAUAAUGAUCUUAAGUCGCCCGUCUUGAAC